UACAGAGACUGCAAGCGUUGUUCGGAUUCAUUGGGCGUAAAGGGUGCGCAGGCGGUCCGGUAAGUUGGAUGUAAAAUACCAUGGCUUAACCAUGGAAGGUCAUUCAAAACUGCCGGGCUAGAGGACUGGAGAGGAGACUGGAAUAGUCGGUGUAGCGGUGAAAUGCGUAGAGAUCGACUAGAACACCGAUAGCGAAGGCAGCUUACUGGGCUGUAACUGACGCUGAUGCACGAAAGUGUGGGGAUCAAACAGG
rnacentral:rRNA from 1 species